rnacentral:rRNA from 1 species
UGGGGAAUAUUGCGCAAUGGGCGAAAGCCUGACGCAGCGACGCCGCGUGAGGGAUGAAGGUUUUCGGAUCGUAAACCUCUGUCAGAAGGGAAGAAACCGCACUGUGCUAAUCAGCAGUGCCUUGACGGUACCUUCAAAGGAAGCACCGGCUAACUCCGUGCCAGCAGCCGCGGUAAUACGGAGGGUGCAAGCGUUAAUCGGAAUUACUGGGCGUAAAGCGCACGUAGGCUGCUUUGUAAGUCAGGGGUGAAAUCCCACGGCUCAACCGUGGAACUGCCUUUGAUACUGCUUAGCUUGAAUGCGGGAGAGGGUGGCGGAAUUCCAGGUGUAGGAGUGAAAUCCGUAGAUAUCUGGAGGAACAUCAGUGGCUGAGGCGACCACCUGGACCGGUAUUGAAGCUGAGGUGCGAAAGCGUGGGGAGCAAACAGG